AGAGUUUGAUCCUGGCUCAGGAUGAACGCUAGCUACAGGCUUAACACAUGCAAGUCGAGGGGAAACGACAUCGAAAGCUUGCUUUUGAUGGGCGUCGACCGGCGCACGGGUGAGUAACGCGUAUCCAACCUGCCCAUCACUUGGGGAUAACCUUGCGAAAGUAAGACUAAUACCCAAUGAUAUCUCUAGAAGACAUCUGAAAGAGAUUAAAGAUUUAUCGGUGAUGGAUGGGGAUGCGUCUGAUUAGCUUGUUGGCGGGGUAACGGCCCACCAAGGCUACGAUCGAGUAGGGGUUCUGAGAGGAACGGUCCCCCANAUUGGAACUGAGACACGGUCCAAACGUCCUACGGGAGCA
rnacentral:rRNA from 1 species